rnacentral:rRNA from 1 species
GACGUAGGGGGCGAGCGUUGUCCGGAAUUAUUGGGCGUAAAGGGCUCCUAGGCGGUUCAGUAAGUCGACUGUGAAAAUCCAAGGCUCAACCUUGGGACGCCAGUCGAUACUGCUGUGACUCGAGUUCGGUAGAGGAGUGUGGAAUUCCUGGUGUAGCGGUGAAAUGCGCAGAUAUCAGGAGGAACACCAACGGCGAAGGCAGCACUCUGGGCCGAUACUGACGCUGAAGA